UCUCUGUCUUUUGUGGCACCUUUACUCUCUGCUCCGUGUCUGCACACCUGUUCCUCGUUUAAUUAGUUGUAUUUAGUUCCACCUGAGUCCCUCCUUCACUGCUUCAUCAUUAUUCUUUUUUGACGGAUGUGGAUCGGACGGGUUUUAUUCGCAGUCAAUUUGAAGGAGUCUGUUCAUCUACAAUACAAGCGCUACAACAGUACACAAGUCUUACACAAUGUGUUAUGGGUCACGUUCCUGCUUCUCCUCCUGCUGUGCGGACUGAGUGCAUGGCGGAGCACAUCAACAGGUGUUCCCUCUCCGCUGCGGGUAUGCCUCUGCAAGAGAUCUGCAAUCAACACACCUGCCGGUGAUGAGCAACCAGCCUUCAUAAGCCAGCGCGUCUUAAGAUCCGGUGCCAGAACGUAGUUUCUCCUACCAGUACACUUCCUCAUCGUCUACCUGGACCCACUUUGGAUUCCUUCUUGCCUUCCUGGACCAAGACCUCGCUCCUGCCCUCUGACGUCCAAGCCUUUUUCUUCUUUUGGACUUCCACCUCUAUCUCAACACGCACACUCAACACCCUCUGGUGACCACGCUCAGAUAAUACUUACACAUAGUCACACUCCAUCUCUUUAAGGUAAUCACACACUGCACUCACAUACUGAGUUGUCAAUAAACACGCUGGCAGCUAA